GACGAACGCUGGCGGCGUGCUUAACACAUGCAAGUCGAACGGAAAGGCCCUGCUUUUGUGGGGUGCUCGAGUGGCGAACGGGUGAGUAACACGUGAGUAACCUGCCCUUGACUUUGGUAUAACUUCAGGAAACUGGGGCUAAUACCGGAUAGGAGCUCCUGCUGCAUGGUGGGGGUUGGAAAGUUUCGGCGGUUGGGGAUGGACUCGCGGUUUAUCAGCUUGUUGGUGGGGUAGUGGCUUACCAAGGCUUUGACGGGUAGCCGGCCUGAGAGGGUGACCGGCCACAUUGGGACUGAGAUACGGCCCAGACUCCUACGGGAGGCAGCAGUGGGGAAUAUUGCACAAUGGGCGGAAGCCUGAUGCAGCAACGCCGCGUGCGGGAUGACGGCCUUCGGGUUGUAAACCGCUUUCGCCUGUGACGAAGCGUGAGUGACGGUAAUGGGUAAAGAAGCACCGGCUAACUACGUG
rnacentral:rRNA from 1 species